rnacentral:rRNA from 1 species
UGCCAGCAGCCGCGGUAACACAGAGGGCGCGAACGUUGCUCGGAAUUACUGGGCGUAAAGCGCGUGUAGGCGGACCUGCAAGUCGGGCGUGAAAUCCCUGGGCUCAACCCAGGAACUGCGUUCGAAACUGCAGGUCUUGAGUAUCGGAGAGGGUAGCGGAAUUCCCGGUGUAGAGGUGAAAUUCGUAGAUAUCGGGAGGAACACCAGUGGCGAAGGCGGCUACCUGGACGAUAACUGACGCUGAGACGCGAAAGCGUGGGGAGCAAACAGGAUUAGAUA